GACAUUGAGUGCGUAUUGUAUUAUGGUUUUCUCGCAGCAAGAUCGACUCGCUUGUUAACUCGGCUUGGUUUUCUGGAUGCAGGGUCAAUUUUGGAUUGAGAGUCUUUUCUGGACUUGUUUAUUUUGUGCGGCAGGUUAUGUAGAUUUUGGUGGAUAGGCUGAUGUUAGGACUGUUUGGACUGGUUUUGAGAUGCAGGGUUGUAAUAAUAAGGAUGAUGAUUUGGUGCGGCAGGGUCUUUAUUUGGUACUGUCUUAUUGAAUGUGCAGUUGGCUUCUUUUCUGUUUAUGCAGGGCUGACUUAUGUAUUUGUUAUAGUUUGUCUUGACAUGUUUGGAAUUGAUUUUUUCAGAUAAUUGGUAGGCUUGAAGGAAUUCUUGGUUAGGGCUUUGAUGGAGUCAGGAUCAUGGUGAAGACUUAUUGAAGAAGAUAGUAUAGGAACUAGGUCUAUGUGUCUUUUAUGGAAUAUUAUGUAAUGAUUUUCUUUGUUUUGUAAUAGGAUGAUGGUUGAAUAGUGUAAUGAACAAAACUUUUCCUUUUUGAGUGAAUUCCCAUACUUUUCUGAA